UUUGCAAGCAAAAUUGUAAUUUUGGCCAGAGUGCUUUUGUUCAGACAUGGGUGUUAACUGCUUUGAGAAUGUGAUGUCAGAGUUGACACAAGCAUCAAAACGAU